rnacentral:lncRNA from 1 species
CCUCAGCUUUAUAAAUCUGUUUCCUACCCCAGCAGGGCAGCUUCUCUGUCCUCCUGCGUGUUUCUGCCCCCCCCCACGCUCCUUCCAAGGAGCCUUUCCUAGCUGUGAGUUGAUGCCACAACCCCGUGGAAGCCUCUCUGUGCUCCGUGUGGGUUCUGACACCCAAGCCAUCUCAUGUGGUCCCCUCCCACACUGCCUCGGUUCUUCUGAGCUGAUGCCAGAACACUCCAGAGUCUUUGCUGCACGACCACACCUCACACUGGAGCCCCAGGAUGGCUUGUGGGGCCUUAUGCUGCCUUCGUCAGGGCACUCUGCCCAGCUGCAGUGUGUAGACACGACUGAGCCCAUUUUCCAUGUCCCUCAGGUACUUGGAUGAGCUAUAGAGCCCGACCCAGGAUGGAACAGAAUCUUCCCUUCCGUGGCCAACACAAACAGGGGGCCCAUAAACCUUCCUAAUUUAGGCAGGCAGGCAGGCAGGCAGGCAAGGUCAGGACGGGAGACUAAACAAUCAUCUCAGGACACACCCAGGCUGCUCAGUCCUCAGGAAUGCCUACGACAUCGACAUCGGGACUUCUACAGAGAACAGCAGACCUCUUUGAGCACAGGCAGCCUUGGGUCAAUCCAGUUCCUCAUCAGCUAUGGACAGCAGGGCCUUGCUGGACUGCUCCAUGGUCGGGGGUGUGGCAGCGAUGCUGGGUACCUGCUCUGCUCUGAGCAUUCUCUGGCAGAGAGCACUCCUCUGCCUCAGUUUCCUUGUAGGAGAAGUGGAGGUCUCAAACUCCAAUGGGCAAACCAGUAGGCAGCCUUCCCCCAUGACUCCUCCCUUGAGUUUCUGCCCCGGCUUCCCCCUGAGCAGUAGGUGUAAGCAGAAAUAAACCCCUCUCUCCCCAAA